GACAGAGGGGGCAAGCGUUGCUCGGAAUCACUGGGCGUAAAGGGCGCGUAGGCGGGAUGGCAAGUCGGUCGUGAAAUCCCUGGGCUCAACUCAGGGGGGUCGGCCGAUACUGCCGUUCUUGAGGGAUGCAGAGGAGACUGGAAUUCCCGGUGUAGCGGUGAAAUGUGUAGAGAUCGGGAGGAACACCGGUGGCGAAGGCGGGUCUCUGGGCAUUCCCUGACGCUGAGGCGCGAAAGCGUGGGGAGCAAACAGG
rnacentral:rRNA from 1 species